CAGCACCAUCUCGCGUCUCUUUAAGGAGACGUGCGAUCAAACGGCAAUAUGGCCGACGUCGCGAGAUCUUUAAUUAGUGACAAACUGAACGAACAUCGUGUUUUUUAUCAUUUUAGUGUAAAAGAAGGCGAUCGUCGUUGGUUGGAUCGAACGGAGUAGGCCCCGUUGGGCCUCGAGCUUAAGAUUAUUUUGAUGACAAAUGAUACUUAUUUAUCCUUCUGAAUACACGAAGGUAGAAAUUUCACGGCAUGUUGGCUAAAAGAGAAUCACGAUAAAUAAAUCUCAUUUCGUAUUCCUUAAUUAUAACUUGAGCUGUUCGAGCAUGAAUCAGAGAAUAAUUCUAGAAGACAAUGAAACGAAUCGGUUCGUUAAUUACGUUAUUGUGAUCGGUUCGAAAAUUAGCAUAAUUCUAAAGAAGAAGAACGGGAUGAUUCGAAUGAUCUUCGGGAAUCAAAGAUGAGGAAUACGAAGAGGAUAACGAAGAGGAUGGGGUAGAAGAAGAAUAA
rnacentral:lncRNA from 1 species